rnacentral:piRNA from 1 species
UUGCUUUCGGAAGGAUUUCUAUAGUACAU